UACGGGGGGUGCAAGCGUUAUUCGGAUUUAUUGGGCGUAAAGGGCGCGUAGGCGGCUAAGCAAGUCUGAUGUGAAAACUCCAUCGCUCAACGAGGAGACUGCAUUGGAAACUGCAUAGCUUGAGUGCGAGAGAGGUAAGCAGAAUGCCUGGUGUAGCGGUGGAAUGCGUAGAUAUCAGGCAGAAUACCAGUGGCGAAGGCGGCUUACUGGCUCGUAACUGACGCUGAGGCGCGAAAGCGUGGGUAGCAAACGGG
rnacentral:misc_RNA from 1 species